GAUGAACGCUGGCGGCGUGCCUAAUACAUGCAAGUCGAGCGAACGGACGAGAAGCUUGCUUCUCUGAUGUUAGCGGCGGACGGGUGAGUAACACGUGGAUAACCUACCUAUAAGACUGGGAUAACUUCGGGAAACCGGAGCUAAUACCGGAUAAUAUUUUGAACCGCAUGGUUCAAAAGUGAAAGACGGUCUUGCUGUCACUUAUAGAUGGAUCCGCGCUGCAUUAGCUAGUUGGUAAGGUAACGGCUUACCAAGGCAACGAUGCAUAGCCGACCUGAGAGGGUGAUCGGCCACACUGGAACUGAGACACGGUCCAGACUCCUACGGGAGGCAGCAGUAGGGAAUCUUCCGCAAUGGGCGAAAGCCUGACGGAGCAACGCCGCGUGAGUGAUGAAGGUCUUCGGAUCGUAAAACUCUGUUAUUAGGGAAGAACAUAUGUGUAAGUAACUGUGCACAUCUUGACGGUACCUAAUCAGAAAGCCACGGCUAACUACGUGCCAGCAGCCGCGGUAAUACGUAGGUGGCAAGCGUUAUCCGGAAUUAUUGGGCGUAAAGCGCGCGUAGGCGGUUUUUUAAGUCUGAUGUGAAAGCCCACGGCUCAACCGUGGAGGGUCAUUGGAAACUGGAAAACUUGAGUGCAGAAGAGGAAAGUGGAAUUCCGUGUGUAGCGGUGAAAUGCGCAGAGAUAUGGAGGAACACCAGUGGCGAAGGCGACUUUCUGGUCUGUAACUGACGCUGAUGUGCGAAAGCGUGGGGAUCAAACAGGAUUAGAUACCCUGGUAGUCCACGCCGUAAACGAUGAGUGCUAAGUGUUAGGGGGUUUCCGCCCCUUAGUGCUGCAGCUAACGCAUUAAGCACUCCGCCUGGGGAGUACGACCGCAAGGUUGAAACUCAAAGGAAUUGACGGGGACCCGCACAAGCGGUGGAGCAUGUGGUUUAAUUCGAAGCAACGCGAAGAACCUUACCAAAUCUUGACAUCCUUUGACAACUCUAGAGAUAGAGCCUUCCCCUUCGGGGGACAAAGUGACAGGUGGUGCAUGGUUGUCGUCAGCUCGUGUCGCGAGAUGUUGGGUUAAGUCCCGCAACGAGCGCAACCCUUAAGCUUAGUUGCCAUCAUUAAGUUGGGCACUCUAAGUUGACUGCCGGUGACAAACCGGAGGAAGGUGGGGAUGACGUCAAAUCAUCAUGCCCCUUAUGAUUUGGGCUACACACGUGCUACAAUGGACAAUACAAAGGGCAGCGAAACCGCGAGGUCAAGCAAAUCCCAUAAAGUUGUUCUCAGUUCGGAUUGUAGUCUGCAACUCGACUACAUGAAGCUGGAAUCGCUAGUAAUCGUAGAUCAGCAUGCUACGGUGAAUACGUUCCCGGGUCU
rnacentral:rRNA from 1 species